rnacentral:rRNA from 1 species
CGUCCAGACUCCUACGGGAGGCAGCAGUAAGGGAUAUUGGUCAAUGGGGGAAACCCUGAACCAGCAACGCCGCGUGAGGGAAGACGGUUUUCGGAUUGUAAACCUCUGUCCUCUGUGAAGAUGAUGACGGUAGCAGAGGAGGAAGCUCCGGCUAACUACGUGCCAGCAGCCGCGGUAAUACGUAGGGAGCGAGCGUUGUCCGGAAUUACUGGGUGUAAAGGGAGCGUAGGCGGGACUGCAAGUUGGGUGUCAAAUCGAGCGGCUCAACCGGUAGCCGCACUCAAAACUGCAGUUCUUGAGUGAAGGAGAGGCAGGCGGAAUUCCUGGUGUAGCGGUGAAAUGCGUAAAUAUUAGGAGGAACACCAGUGGCGAAGGCGGCCUGCUGGGCUUUAACUGACGCUGAGGCUCGAAAGCGUGGGUAGCAAACAGGAUUAGAUACCCGAGUAA